GAGGAUAUAGCUCAGUGGUACAGUACGUGCUUAGCGAGCACAAGGUCCUGGGUUCUAUCCCCAGCACCUCCA
rnacentral:tRNA from 1 species